rnacentral:tRNA from 1 species
GUGUUUUUAGUUUAUUUGGUAAAACGGCUGAUUGUGAUUCAGCAAAACAGGGUUCGAUUCCCGAAAACACCCA